AUUUUCUGCUAGGGGCGCCGUAACGGCUGAGAUAAAUGUAUAUUUAGCACCCUUAGAACCUGAUCUGGUUAAGGCCAGCGGAGGGAAGUAGAAUAAGCAGACA
rfam:Oceanobacillus oncorhynchi strain Oc5 genome assembly, contig: CONTIG000001